AACGAACGCUGGCGGCAGGCUUAACACAUGCAAGUCGAACGGGUGCAGCGAUGCAUCAGUGGCAGACGGGUGAGUAACACGUGGGAACCUUCCUUGGGGUACGGAACAACUUGGGGAAACUCGAGCUAAUACCGUAUACGUCCGUGAGGAGAAAGAUUUAUCGCCCUGAGACGGGCCCGCGUCGGAUUAGCUAGUUGGUGGGGUAACGGCCUACCAAGGCGACGAUCCGUAGCUGAUCUUAGAGGAUGAUCAGCCACACUGGGACUGAGACACGGCCCAGACUCCUACGGGAGGCAGCAGUGGGGAAUCUUGGACAAUGGGGGCAACCCUGAUCCAGCCAUGCCGCGUGAGUGAAGAAGGUCUUCGGAUUGUAAAGCUCUUUUGCCAGGGACGAUAAUGACGGUACCUGGAGAAUAAGCCCCGGCAAACUUCGUG
rnacentral:rRNA from 1 species